AAACUGUGAUGCAGACAAAUCCUCAUCAUAUCUUUAUACAUCUUCUAAGCUUCAAAAAGGCACUCACCAUCUUUCGGUCUGAAACAAUUUAUUUGGCUUCGUAGCAU